UACGUAGGCAGCAAACGUUGUUCGGAAUUACUGGGCGUAAAGAGUGUGUAGGCGGUCUUGUAAGUUCUGUGUGAAAUCUCCCGGCUUAACUGGGAGGGUGCGCCGAAUACUGCAAGGCUUGAGUACUGGAGAGGAUAGCGGAAUUCCACGUGUAGCAGUGAAAUGCGUAGAGAUGUGGAGGAACACCGAUGGCGAAGGCAGCCUCCUGGGCCAGCACUGACGCUCAUGCACGAAAGCGUGGGGAGCAAACAGG
rnacentral:rRNA from 1 species